CUGGAACUGCCUUUCAUACGACUAGUCUUGAGUUCGAGAGAGGUGAGUGGAAUUCCGAGUGUAGAGGUGAAAUUCGUAGAUAUUCGGAGGAACACCAGUGGCGAAGGCGGCUCACUGGCUCGAUACUGACGCUGAGGUGCGAAAGCGUGGGGAGCAAAC
rnacentral:rRNA from 1 species